UUGCUCGUUCUGAUAUUUCUUCCUCUUGUCCUUCCUGUUACACCUGGUGCUGUAGAUGUCCUGGAGGGCGGUGUGGCCCCGACGAGGGCGGUGUGGCCCCGACGAGGGCGGUGUGGCCCCGACGAUGUAAUAUGGAGCCCAGUGGACUCCGCCCCGUGUCGAGCUCAGGCUUACAAUAAGUGAUGUGGCGAGGAUGCCGCCAGAAAGGACACCCAAAGUUGCCCUCAGAUGGACACCGACGGAGUCGUCUCAGCUCCAUAUCAGUCACUGAAAGGUUGCUGGAUCGAAUCCCCGAGCUGACAAGGUUGGAUGUCUACAGGAAAGUCCCCAAAGACCUGACCCAGCCCACGCACACAGGAGCUGUGGUGGUCUUGAUAUCCAGGAUGAGAUGGGUCGUCAUGAGGUGGGGCACGUAGACAACUCCAUGAAGGUUCCUCUCAACCAUGGAUAUGGUUGUCGCUUCGAGGGAUAGUUCACUAUUAACCAAGGAGACACUGCUGACCCCCACUACACAGACCUCUGAUCAAGAUGGCGCCGACGGAGAUGGUCCUUAAAAAAACGAUGCAGUUAUUUGUUUUUUUUGGUAUUAUUUCUUACAUUGUUAACACAGGAAAUCUCAAGUCUUAUUACAUACAGCCGGGAAGAACUACUGGAUAUAAGAUCAACGUCAACUUCCCAACAAAACGACCAGAAAUACGUCUUUGCCGAAUCGGAUCCUUUGUUCGGACUUCCACCCUGGACAUGGGAUCUCAUCCCAGAGGGCAACCCAGAACAACGCGGUCGCCGCAGGUACCAGGCAACUUCCACGUGUCGACCCACAGCGCCACAGCCCAGCCCCAGAGCCCUGACAUGACACACCUCGUACACAAACUGGUCUUCGGGGAGAAACAACUGGUUUUUAUAUGACCAAUCAUAUCGAGUGGUUCCAAUGACGAAUUUGACGCGAGCAAAGAUGGCUGACAAAACAUUACGGAGGGAAGCAGAUGUAAGUAAUUAUAACGUCAUAACGAGUCAAGAAAAACAUUUACAUUUGAGAGGAAUAUGUUAGUUAAUGUAGAGACAAACGAUUGUGCAUAUUUUUUUUGUCAAAGUUAAUUUAUGAAAAUCGCGAUUUAGCAAGUUAACUGACUAACUAACAUUAGUUAGCUGGUGUUAUGACAUGAGUACAGUAUGAUAUUGUAAUUCGUGUUGUUUAAUGUUUUAGGGACUCCUGAAACAACCAGAUAACCAGGCUGUCAUCUUGUGGAUGUAAAGAAUCGAGCUAGCUAAAGCAUUUAUUGCUAAUUGAAUGUACAAUUGUGUAAGCUUGCCUUGCAAUGCAGCUGAAGUAACCUAGCUAGCUAACUAUUUACUUUCUUAUUGGGUAGUGGAGGAUAAAUAUAACUGUCUAUGGAUGUGUAGCUAGCUAAAGCAUUUACUGCUAAUUGAAUGUACAAUUGUGUAAGCUUGCCUUGCAAUGCAGCUGAAGUAACCUAGCUAGCUAACUAUUUACUUUCUUAUUGUGUAGUGGAGGAUAAAUAUAACUGUCUAUGGAUGUGUAGCUAGCUACAGUAUGUAGCCGGUCUGUGUCCCCCUUUUUCCUCCAAACAUAACCAUGGUCAUUAUGGCCUAUUUGUGUUUCAUCAGACCAGAGGACAUUUCUCCAAAAAAGUAUGAUUUUUGUCCCCAUGUGCAGAUGCAAACCGUAGUCUGGCUUUUUUAUGGCGGUUUUGGAGCAGUGGCUUCUUCCUUGCUGAGGAGACAGAACGUGUCUCCUUCCUGAGCGGUAUGACGGCUGCGUGGUCCCA